UUUUUUUCUUUUUCUUUUUUUUUUCCUUCUCAACGGACACAGCAUCGACAGAUUUACGAGAGCAUGGUGAUGCUGUUGUUGGUAACAAUGUGAACGAAAACGAAGGGGAAAAAACAGUGCUAUUUUUUUAAAAACGAAAAAAUGAAUGGCAGUAAAUGAAUUGGAAAGUAUUCACGAAAAAACAAAUGUUGUAAC
rnacentral:ribozyme from 1 species